UAAACAAUUUUAAAAAAUUCAUCCUCUAUCAUGAUGAAAAUGGGUCAUUAACUACAACACCAUGAACCUAGCAUCAACUUCUUCCCUCUCUCUCUUCCCUCUUUCUCUCUUUCUCUCUCUUAUUUUUCUCUCCCUUCACUUUUUCUCUUGUUCUCUCUUCUCUCAUCUUUCUUCUCUUUCUCUCUCUUCUUUUUUUCUCCGCUCUCUCUCAUUUGUUCCAUGCACAUCCAAACUCCCUCACGUCCACCUACUUUUACCAUGUUCCCUCACUCCCACGCGCCCACGGACUUCUCCCUGCCGUGCCAUCUCCAUCAUCUACUGCGCCGUUCAACCCGCCGUGGCAUCUCCGCCAUCUGCUGCUCCCUUCAAGCCACCGAGCCACCUUCACCUUUGUCGUGCACACCCUGCCGAGGCACCUACCUCACGUCCCCUGUACUGCGCAGCCACCCUCACGCUGCCGCGCUCUGUCCCUGUCAUGCGCAUCCACCUUCACGCUGUCGCACCCUCUCCCUGCUGUGCGCAACCACCCUCACGCUGCCGUGCACAACCCACUUCCCUGCCGAGCCUUCCUCUCCAGCCGUCUGCGACCACCACCACCUUCUCCUCUCUUUUUCACUUUCACUCAUCUGCAACCAAGCCGCUCCCUCUCUUUGCAACCUGCUGUCGCCCCCUCUCUCUGCAAUCUGCUGCCUCUAUUUCCGCCACCUCAUUGCUCCCUCUCUCCGCCUCUCUCGCUCACCUGUCCCUGCUCUUAGCCUCUCUUACGCCACUAUCUUCUUCUCCACCGCUUGCAGCCACCUUCCUUUCCCACCUCACCGUUUCCUCUCUCUAGCCCUCUCACGGCUCUCCGUGCCUCUUCACGAUCUCCUGUAACCUCUAGUCUCUUCACAGUCUCCUACAACCUCUAGCCCCUUCACGAUGCUCUGCAACUCUCCCAUCCCCUCGCUGCACUUUCUCUCUCUAGAACCCCCAAACGAAAUACCCAUCUCUCCUUUCAUUUUUCUUUUCGUUUUAGUUUUUCGUAACUUUCGUUUCGUUUCACUUCAUUCCCCUCACUCUUUUCUUCGUCCCACCAUCUCACUUAAAACCCAAAAGCUGUUCGCACGUAUGGCCAUAAGGCCUUGUUGGUGUUAGAAGCCUGCAAGUGUGGAGGAAUGCUAUAGAUACCUCUUUAGAGACUCGUUCGAAAUAUAACCGUGAAAACCAUUUAUUUUUACCUAUCAAAAGAGAAGCAAGAGAGAAAAAGAAGGCAGCACUAAAAAAAAAGAAAUCAGAGUUUUUGUGAGCAAAAAAUAAUUUAUUCACCCUCUCUAAAAAAAAUAAAAAAAAUCCAAGCUUUGCGAUCACCAGCUUCACGAUAUCUCUUUUUUUAUCUUAGGUUGGUCUCGCACUCAGCCAAUUUUCGCUAACACUUGUAUUCAAGCAAUUCAAGUUCCAUCUUCCCCUUUGUUUUAAUUUUUUUUUUAAUGGUGAAACUUCUGUAAUUUAAUAUUAACAUCAUGUUUGUCACGAUAUACGUAUAAAAAAGAAAAAAAAUAAAAAAAUAAAAAAUAAAAUAAGGAGCUUAGGUCAAAGUCCGUUUAAAGAAAUUUUUUACCAUUCAUGAUUGACAUUUUUUUUGCAUUCAGGAUUGCGGUAAAUACUUUCAUUUUUGCGUAAAAUAAAAAUAAAAAAAUAAUUGUGAUCGAAUACUUUUUCUCACUGCAACUCUUCUCCUCUUUCAUUGCUCUGGAAGAGAAGGGGCUAAGAACCCAUAUCCCAGUCAAGUAGGGUUGAUUAGCAGGCCUGAAACAUCAGAGAGAAACAUAAAACCCAAAACCAGGGAGAAGGAAAAAUUGGGUUGGAGAAGUAGAAAGAGAAAGAGGGAAAGGAAAAUCGUGGCAGUAAGAGUGUGACACGCUCCACUGUGUUGCUUUUACCGUAGAGAUAGAGAGCGAGGGGCAGAGUUGGAGCCUCUGUGGUCAUCUUUGCUUUUCGUGGAGAGAGACCUUUCUGGACACUCACUGUUUUUUCAUGGGCAGAUAAACGGGGACAUGAGAGAGAAGUCAAAAACCCAUUGUUCACUUUCUUGAUGUAGAGAGAAAAAGAGAGAAGAGGAGUGUAA
rnacentral:lncRNA from 1 species